UACGGGGGGAGCAAGCGUUGUUCGGAUUUACUGGGCGUAAAGGGCGCGUAGGCGGCCAGCACAAGUCAGUUGUGAAAUCUCCGAGCUUAACUCGGAAAGGUCAACUGAUACUGUGCGGCUAGAGUGCAGAAGGGGCAACUGGAAUUCUUGGUGUAGCGGUGAAAUUCGUAGAUAUUCGGAGGAACACCAGUGGCGAAGGCGACUCGCUGGACUGAUACUGACGCUGAGGUGCGAAAGCGUGGGGAGCAAACAGG
rnacentral:rRNA from 1 species